GGGAGCUCGAAAAAAAUUAAUCGCUGGAUUUGGCCGUUGGGCUCGAGCUCUGUCCGUUAGAGUUCGAGGAAAGAUAGAAGCAGCGGGUCAGUCACAUCUUUAACAUUAUUCACUUAAUCAAAGCAGACCCAACAAUGUUCUGCUAAUAUUACAAAGAAAAACUAGCAAGCAUCUGUGUGAAGAACAUUGAUCGUUUCCCUGAGCUCGCUUGCGGAUGGAGCAUUGGCAGGAGCGAGCUGUCCCGGUGUGACUCAUGGUGGAAGGGAGUGAUCUGAGUGUGGACUUGAGUGGGCCCAGCGCAGAGUCAAGUGGAUCCACACUUUUCUGAGAAUGGUGCUGGCUUGUGGCAACAGAAACUAACAUAAGUAGCACAUUAUCAUGGUUGAAGCAAAGUGGAGGACAUGCCCCUGUCUACAUCAAUGGGGGUGAGGUAGAGAUGAUCGAGUGUGUGAGGAGUGACGAUCCCAGGAGUGACGAUCACCAAUAAUCUGUCCUGGUCUAUCCGUUUUGAUGUGAUGGUCAAGAAAGCAGAACAAUGCCUCUAAUUCCUCGGGAGGCUAAGGAAAUUCAGCAUGUCCGCAAAGACUCUUACCACUUUUAUAGAUGCACAAUAGAAAGCAUUCUAUCUGGGUACAGCGCGGCUUGGUAUGGUAACUGCUUUCCCCAAAACUGCAAGAAACUGCAGAGAUUUGCAGACACAGCCCAGUCCAUCACGUAAAUCACCCUUCUGUCCACUGACUAUCUAUAUAGAUAUUUCUGCUAUAAAACGUGUUUCGUUAACACAAAAUAGUUGUAAUGUGAGUGAUAAAUAAUAGAUGCUGUUUGGAUAAUGUGAACUUUCUGUUGUACAAGUAGCAAUUUUCUGUCGCGAUUUCCCUAUGAUGUGAUUUUCUACAGCGAUUUUUUAUAGUACGAUUUUCUAUAGUGCGAGGUCACACAAAAACGCAACUAACACGUUAUAGCAGAACUACAUGUACUUCUCGCUGUCUCAGAAAAACAGCCAACACCAUCAAAGACUCAUCCCACUCCAGUUAUAUUCUCUUCCACCCUCUUCCCUCGGGCAGAAGAAACAAAAGCUUAAAUAGAUGUACCAACAGAUUCAAGAACAACUUCUUCCCCGCUGUUAGUAGAUUUCUGAAUGGUGUUCUCAAAUUUUGAAUUUAAUGUCAAUCUUGCUGUUUGUGCACCUUCUCUGCAAUUGUAACACCGUACUCCUCGGUCUGUUCUAUUAUUCUAAUGCAAUUUGGAUGGCAUGAUCUGCCCAUACUGCAAGUAAAACAAAACUUUCUACUGUACCUAGGUACAUGUGAUAAUAAUAAAUCAAAUCCAAUCAGAUCUAAUAGUUGAAGAUUAUGCCACUUCACAUCACCAGGUGUGGUGGAUCAGGCAUCCAUGAUAAAUCCUGUCCAGCAUGUAUUUUGCACCAGAGAUAAUGGGAACUGCAGAUGCUGGAGAAUCCAAGAUAAUAAAGUGUGAAGCUGGAUGAAUACAGCAGGCCAAGCAGCAUCCCAGGAGCACAAAAGCUGACGUUUCGGGCCUAGACCCUUCAUCAGAGAGAGGGACGGGGAGAGGGCU